UAUAAUCUCUGAUUAUUUAGCAAUAUAUUUCUGAAGUAAUUAUUAAAUCAAUACCAUAGUCUUUAUAACUAUAUUUUUAUAAAAGUUGCAAUACCUGAGAGAACAAGUGUCUUUUAACUCAUUUUUCUCUCCAGGGAUGUCAUGGGAAUUCUGCUUCUUGGCAAUUUUCACGGAUUGUAAAAUUAGCUUACCAACUUGCAUAAAAACUUCUGUAUGUUAUUGAAUAUCAUCAGUUUUAGCAAGCAUUCUUGUCUCAUUCCUGAUUUUAGAGGAAAUACUUGAACUUCUCACUCGAAAGGAACUAAAAUAAUUCUGAGUACUAGCAAGGACUAAGAUGAAGUUCAAUGUUAUGACUGCAAAGUGAAAUGAUCAGAAGUUUCAUGGCCAUGAGUACUGCUGCCUGGCCCGGGCAUGAGAAAUGAGUUUGCUCUAGACUGCAGAUUGUGAAGACGAGCUUUGCAAAAAUCUAACAUCUAGUGCAUUCUGACUAUGGAGAGGAUAUAAUUGAUGUAAGACUCCAAGAGAUUGCUGGUGAAUAGAUCUGUGGUUAGAUUUUAAACGAUGGAUUUAGAAAACAAUUCAAUGAGGUUAAAAUUAAUUUUAGUAAAUGUGAGGGAUAAGAGAAAGGAAGGCUGAGAUAAGCUGUUUUAUAAGAAAUAGUUAUGCUGAACAGAUCCAAGUUUUGCUGAGGUGAAGCAGAAACAAUAUGGCGAUUAGAAAGAACAGCGAGGUCAAGAUGUUACUGCAUUUUCAACCUGGGUAACUACGAGGUCAAUAUGUGAAUAAGUUAACAAUGUAUUGCUGAAGAAAUUAUGAAUAGAAUGGAGAGGAAACUGGGAAAGUAUAGAGUGUGGUUAUUUACUACAUGUUUUAGGUCACCAGUUAAAAUAAAUAAAGUUGACCUAGGUUUAAAAAGAAGGGAAAAUGUUAAACAAGGAUCAUUGUUGAGUAAUUGGAAUUAAGAGUUCACACAAAAAGCAGGCUGUCUCUUAAUCCUAGGGCAUGAAGAGCAGGGGAUAAAAGGAUGGUCUCUGUCAGAUAUUUCCAAGAAAAAGCAUUGUCAAUUUUAGGAUGUUUGCGUUUGGUAAAUGUAGAAAGCUAUCAUCCAUAGAUGCUAACACUG